UACGGAAGGUGCGAGCGUUAAUCGGAAUUACUGGGCGUAAAGCGCACGUAGGUGGUUUUAUAAGUCGGAUGUGAAAGCCCCGGGCUCAACCUGGGAAUGGCAUUGGAAACUGGCGGGCUUGAGUGUGGCAGAGGGGGGUGGAAUUCCGCGUGUAGCAGUGAAAUGCGUAGAGAUGCGGAGGAACACCGAUGGCGAAGGCAGCCCCCUGGGCUGACACUGACGCUCAGGCACGAAAGCGUGGGGAGCAAACAGG
rnacentral:rRNA from 1 species